AGGGAAUCUUCGGCAAUGGACGGAAGUCUGACCGAGCAACGCCGCGUGAGUGAAGAAGGUUUUCGGAUCGUAAAGCUCUGUUGUAAGAGAAGAACGAGUGUGAGAGUGGAAAGUUCACACUGUGACGGUAUCUUACCAGAAAGGGACGGCUAACUACGUGCCAGCAGCCGCGGUAAUACGUAGGUCCCGAGCGUUGUCCGGAUUUAUUGGGCGUAAAGCGAGCGCAGGCGGUUAGAUAAGUCUGAAGUUAAAGGCUGUGGCUUAACCAUAGUACGCUUUGGAAACUGUUUAACUUGAGUGCAAGAGGGGAGAGUGGAAUUCCAUGUGUAGCGGUGAGAUGCGUAGAUAUAUGGAGGAACACCGGUGGCGAAAGCGGCUCUCUGGCUUGUAACUGACGCUGAGGCUCGAAAGCGUGGGGAGCAAACAGGAUUAGAUACCCUGGUAGUCCACGCCGUAAACGAUGAGUGCUAGGUGUUAGACCCUUUCCGGGGUUUAGUGCCGUAGCUAACGCAUUAAGCACUCCGCCUGGGGAGUACGACCGCAAGGUUG
rnacentral:rRNA from 1 species